rnacentral:rRNA from 1 species
UACGAAGGGGGCUAGCGUUGCUCGGAAUUACUGGGCGUAAAGGGCGCGUAGGCGGGUCGUUAAGUUGGGGGUGAAAGCCCAGGGCUCAACCCUGGAAUUGCCUUCAAUACUGGCGACCUUGAGUAUGGCAGAGGUGUGUGGAACUCCGAGUGUAGAGGUGAAAUUCGUAGAUAUUCGGAAGAACACCAGUGGCGAAGGCGACACACUGGGCCAUUACUGACGCUGAGGCGCGAAAGCUAGGGGAGCGAACGGG